GUGACAUAUAUUUUUAUCUGUGUUCAUAGUGUUGUGUUACCGGAAAUGCGUUGUUUGUAAUUAGAAUUCGAAGAUGCAUUGACUGGCUUCAUGCAAACCUAAGUAUGCCGUUCAUCGACAUCGCAUUCGCAGCUGAGAUCAGCCGGUAUGAAGACCCGGAGUUUGAGGAGGUAGCUCGACGGAACUGCAAUGAGGAUCCGGACAAACGACAGUCGGCUAUCGAAGAGCUUAGGAGUAUGAUCUAUGAGCGGGGCUUGUGUAAUCCUCGUCGAAUGGAUGAUGCAUA